rnacentral:rRNA from 1 species
CGUACAUCCAGAGAACUUAGCAGGGAUGCUUUGGUGCCUUCGGGAACUCUGAGACAGGUGCUGCAUGGCUGUCGUCAGCUCGUGUUGUGAAAUGUUGGGUUAAGUCCCGCAACGAGCGCAACCCUUAUCCUUUGUUGCCAGCGGCUCGGCCGGGAACUCAAAGGAGACUGCCGGUGAUAAACCGGAGGAAGGUGGGGAUGACGUCAAGUCAUCAUGGCCCUUACGGCCAGGGCUACACACGUGCUACAAUGGCGCAUACAAAGAGAAGCGACCUCGCGAGAGCAAGCGGACCUCACAAAGUGCGUCGUAGUCCGGAUUGGAGUCUGCAACUCGACUCCAUGAAGUCGGAAUCGCUAGUAAUCGUAGAUCAGAAUGCUACGGUGAAUACGUUCCCGGGCCUUGUACACACCGCCCGUCACACCAUGGGAGUGGGUUGCAAAAGAAGUAGGUAGCUUAACCUUCGGGAGGGCGCUUACCACUUUGUGAUUCAUGACUGGGGUGAAGUCGUAACAAGGUAGGCGUAGCGAG